rnacentral:misc_RNA from 1 species
GUGAAUCAUCGAAUCUUUGAACGCAAAUUGCGCCUUUUUCCGAAGGCAUGUCUGUUUGAGGGCACCAUUUAACAAAUAAUGUGCAUUUUGUUGUGCACACGUUGAUGAGCUUUCCAAAAUUAUGUAUUAUUUUUGGUGGCGCAUAAUAAACAGCGCGAUGCUUUUUUUCAGUUCGAGUGAAGAAAAAUUUUUUUUUCCUCGGGUCGUGAAAAGCCAGAUUGAUCAGUGGG